AUGGGGAAGGCUUUGGAUGGCUCUCGUGUUUCUUGCUGGGUGGGAUGAUGGCAGUGGCCGUGGGCACACUGUGGGCAUGGCAAAGCCUCCAGAAGAGAUUUGGGAGCAGAGGGAGGCACUGGGACAGUGGCCUUGGCACAAAGCAACCCUCAGCUUGUGGCAGUGGCAGAGCUGGGCUACAGUUCCCAUCUGGGCUGGGGUUCACAUUUGGGCUGGGGUUCACAUCUGGGCUGUUGUUUCAGGCCGUCACCAGCCUCUGCCCACUCACCACUCACCUGGCAGCAGCCAGGGCCAGGGUGUGGGGAGGCUGUGGGCAGCCUGAGUGCUGCAAAACUCCCUGGGAGCAGCGACACGACACAGCCGGCAUAGCAGAGCCAUCGCAGAGGACCAUUGCCAUCCUGCAGGCAGCCCUCUAAUCAGAUAUUUUGGGGUUUCCCACAUCCCUGCGGGUGUCUGGGCCAAGUAAUGGGGUGAAUGGCGAGGGAAACCCAGGUGCAGGGCCACGGGCAGUGCAUGGGGACCCCUGCGUGGUCACAGCCCCCGAUGCRGCACCGUGACCUGCUCCGCACGACCUUCCCGGGGAAGAUUAUGAAAGUGCAUUACGUGUGGAGGCAAAACGGAUGGAGGAGCGGGCAGGAGUGCUGGGUCAGCAAGUCGUGCAGGCUGGAUGCGAGCGGUGAGUGCUCAGAGCGAGGAGGAAAAGACCGCGCUGGAAACAGUAAAGGAGUCAAACCACGAGUGCGAGUUUGGAGCUUGCAUAUCGUCCGUGACAGGGAAGUCCUGCUCCUCGGCUGUUUUCUCCAUCAUUUUCUCCCUUUGAGCCUUCUACCUCUGUCUCCUCCGAAACGACAGGAGCCCACAGAGUUAAAAUGCAGCAGAGUUUCCCAGCCUUUCCCUGGGGAAAGCCCAGGAGCCAUGUCCCACAGGGGUGCUCCUGCUGGGCACUUCGCAGUGCCUGCCUGCAGCCGAGGUUAGCGCAGGAAUUGCGGGUGAGGAAUGGGAGCUGCCACGCAGGGAGCUGCUGGGGAAUAGCUGCCACGCUUUACAUUCACAGCCCAUCUAUUUUGCAAUAACUUCACCAUGAUGUUCCCACAUAGACAAGCCUAAGCUAGCAUAGAUAAUGAAAUGGGUUAAAGGAGACAGGCGGAGGGAGAGGAGAGGAGCCAGCAACUGGUAGUAAAUCAGGGAGAGAACAGGGUUACUUUAAAUUCAAGGUCUUGGUGGCAGGGCAAGUUUGGUUUGUGCCAGGAGGCAAUGGGGUUCAGAGGAUGGGACACUGUUGGGAACACAGCAGUGUCUCCUUUGUAGGGCCACCAACUUGUGUCCCCCAUAAUCCCCCACCCUGCUCCUCUCAUUCCCCUGUGCCUGCCCCGUGGGUGUCACUGGCAUUAAGCCCAGCCAAGGGCGUCCAUCCUGGGUGGUAAAGGGUGAUCACAGGAUGCUGAAGGAGCUGCCAGGGCAGGCAGUGGGCUCUGCUCCKCAAGGGGAAGGUCCUGCAGGCUCGCAUCAACUCAGGACCUGGGGAGACCCAGCCGCCGAGACUCCCCCACCUUUGGCACGGGCUUCGAGGCAGUCCAAACAAGCUAAUUAAAUCCUGCUCUGCUUAAUCAGAGCCAUUGAGCACCAGUCAGAAGAAAUUAAUCCCGUGUUUUAUUAGAUGCUGUUUGAAGUCGUGUUUGGCACCUCAUCCUCGGUUCUCAUCUCCUUCUGGGGAAGGAAGAAGGACAUCUGCGGGGAAGAGCGAGGGUGCAGCAGAUGGCAGCGGGGAUGAUUCAGGGGCUCGAGGAAGGAGCUGUGACUCCAGCGGCAUCCCUGGGGGGAAGGGGGGGUGAGACACCUCUCCCUGCAUCCCACAGCUUACCCCCCUCCCCACGGCUGAGAGUCUGCGAGCCAGGCAGGCAUCCCAAAAAUACAUGUUCCUCCGCAUUGCAUGCUAAUGGCUCUGCUCGAGAGGUCCCACCGCAAUUAAAGCGCGAGGAGCAUUAAUAUGCAACGUGGAGAGGCCACUCUUCCCACAGCUACUCCCUCCCAAACCUGUCCUUCCUGCUGCACAUCCCUGCCCACUGGGAGCUGCCCACGGGGAUCCCACAGCAGUCCCAGCAGAGCCUCUGGCAGCGUGCAGUGAAUUUGAGCCUUCCUUUGCUGUGCCCAGGGGAUGCUGCCUUUCCCCCAGCACCCAGCACCUUCUCCUGCCUUUGGGCUCAGCAGAGCAGGAUCUGUUGGGUACCUACUAGGUGGGUGCCAUGCAACACAGCCCUGGCAUGGGAGACACCCUGACAGCUGGGAGAAAUCCACAGGCAGGUGUUUAAAACAACCAGCCGGGUGCCGGUUUGGGGUUUUUAAUGAUUUCUGGUGCUUUAAUUGCUGCAACCCAAGGAAAACGCCUGAUGAAGAGAAAGUCUGGCCAAGUAAGGUAGCCCACAGGUCCUCCAAGCCUUGGGAGCGCUCGGUAGCCUUGGUACAUCCUCUUACAACUCAGCUAGGUGAAGCUGCUGGCUUUGGGUGUGGGGAUUAAUUUUUUUUUCCUAAAUUUCCUGUCAUAACUUGCAUUAAAACUUUGCAGAGCCAUUUAA